rnacentral:misc_RNA from 1 species
GCAUCAGAUGUUGCUAUAUCUUGAUUGGCGGGAGUUAUAGCCAGAAUAAUGCAAUUUGGCUUCUCAACAUAUGAACGAACCAUAUUUUCAAUGUCCUUAACUAUGCUCUCUGGCUGUCCCUCUACUGCAACCUUUGUUAAACCGGGCAAAUCUAUCAAUGUCAAGUCGACAACAUUUGGAGAGUAGAUACUGAGAUGAAUAGGAACAGGAGAAAUCUGUUUUGACUUGCCAGUCAUUUUAUCAGUUUCAUCUUGAAUUUCCUUUCGAACCAUGGAGAAGUCUGUGAAUCUUUUCCCUGGCAAGUGAAGAAAUUCUGCAUGCUCCCGUGUCCCUGAUUCUGUCUUGUGCAGUUGCAACACUAAAGGCCGCCUUGUCACAAUACCUGAUCCCCUUGGAAGAAAAUCUCUCCCCACAAUGCUCUCCAACACCGAUGACUUUCCAGAACUUUGGCCGCCGACGACAACAACAGAAGGAAGAGACUCCCAGAGAGUAGGCAAAGAAGAGGAGGCAGUACUUUCGCCAUAGUCGCCGAGAACAGUACAUACUCUCUGUAUUCUGUUAACGAGGCCGAUCAAGGUCACCAUGGUAGCCAUUUGAGAGAGGUUAGGGUUGCUAUCUGUGGGUUGUGAAGAAGAAGUAGAUUUUGAAUUUGAAUUUGAAGGGAAAAUAGAAAAGAGCAGAAGGCAUGCAGUGAGUGAGACAGAGAAGAAGCAGAGAAGAAAGAUGAUGAGGGGAGCUAUUUUCGCUUUUUUUUUUUUUUU